UACAGAGGGGGCAAGCGUUGUUCGGAAUUACUGGGCGUAAAGGGCGCGUAGGCGGUUUGUCGCGUCGACUGUGAGAACCUGGGGCUUAACUCUGGGCCUGCAGUCGAUACGGGCAGACUUGAGUUCGGUAGGGGAGACUGGAAUUCCUGGUGUAGCGGUGAAAUGCGCAGAUAUCAGGAGGAACACCGAUGGCGAAGGCAGCCUCCUGGGCCAACACUGACGCUCAUGCACGAAAGCGUGGGGAGCAAACAGG
rnacentral:rRNA from 1 species